rnacentral:rRNA from 1 species
GCUUAAAGGGGCCGUAGCAGGAUUAGUAAAUCUCUUGUGAAAUUGUUAGGCUUAACCUAACAGCGUGCAGGAGACACUGCUAAUCUUGAGACCGGGAGGAGUCAGAGGUAUUCAUGGGGUAGCGGUAAAAUGCAAUAAUCCCAUGAAGACCACCUGUGGCGAAGGCGUCUGACUAGAACGGGUCUGACUGUGAGGGACGAAAGCUGGGGGAGCGAUCCGGAUUAGAUACCCGAGUAGUCCCAGCCGUAAACACUGCGAGCCAGGUGUUGCAUAUUCCAAGAGAAUGUGCAGUGUCGAAGUGAAGACGUUGAGCUCGCCGCCUGGGUAGUACGGUCGCAAGACUGAAACUUAAAGGAAUAGGCGGGGGAGCACUACAAGGGGUGCGGCGUGCGGUUUAAUCCAACUCAACGCGGAGAAUCUCACCAGAGGCGACGGCAGAAUGAAAGUCAGACUGAAGGUCUUACUUAACAAGCCGAGAGGUGGUGCAUGGCCGCCGUCGGCUCGUGCUGUGAAGUGUCCUGUUAAGUCAGGCAACGAGCGAGACCUGUAUCCACAAUUGCCAACGAAGUUUCUGAUCGGGCACAUUGUGGGGACUGCCUUGGAAACAAGGAGGAAGGUGCAGGCAACGGUAGGUCCGCAUGCCCCUAA